CUCUCUUCUUCUUCCUUCCCCUCUGUCUGCUUCCAGCUACUUCUCAGACUUGCAGAUGCUGAGCUUGCCAGACCCAGACUCCUGAAUGUCCAUGGUCAGAGUCUGUAGGUUGCUGCUGUCAUUAUUUGGAGGAAGAGGAAAAAAUAAUGCUGAGGAGUUGUUGAUGACUUAGAGCAACUGUUUUUCAGCCUACAUGAAGGUGUUUGCCAGGCUGAUAAUGCUUCUGAUGGCCUUCAUCCUGUUUAUGUACAGCAGGUGAGUGCUUUUGCUCUAUAAAGGCAAUUUAAUUCUAUUGACUUUGACAAAAUUGAAUUAAUGUCUUCCAUAACUUGAUUUUGAGU
rnacentral:lncRNA from 1 species